CGGAGGGAUCAUUAAAGAGUUCUAUAACUCCCAAACCCAUGUGAACAUACCUAACGUUGCCUCGGCAGGUCGCACCUACCUUGUAGCACCCUACCCUGUAGGGCCUACCCGGGAGGUGCGGGUAAGCCUGCCGGCGGCCCACCAAACUCUGUUUGAUAUUGAAUUCUGAACCUAUAACUAAAUAAGUUAAAACUUUCAACAACGGAUCUCUUGGUUCUGGCAUCGAUGAAGAACGCAGCGAAAUGCGAUAAGUAAUGUGAAUUGCAGAAUUCAGUGAAUCAUCGAAUCUUUGAACGCAUAUUGCGCCCAUUAGUAUUCUAGUGGGCAGGACCGUUCGAGCGUCAUUUCAACCCUUAAGCCUUCGUUGCUUAGUGUUGGGAGCCUACGGCAACGUAGCUCCUCAAAGUUAGUGGCGGAGUUGGUUCACACUCUAGACGUAGUAAUUUUUUAUCUCGCCUAUUAGUUGGACUAAUCCCCUGCCGUAAAACCCCCAAUUUAUCAAGGUUGACCUCGAAUCGGUUCAGACAAACUCGCUAAAUUGAAGCAUCUUAGUCAGCGAAGGAAAAGAAACCAACAGGGAUUGCCCUAGUAACGGCGAGUGAAGCGGCAACAGCUCAAAUUU
rnacentral:rRNA from 1 species